CCCCGAAAACAGGUUUGGAAAUUAAACCCCGUUAAUACUAAAGACGGGGAAAGUACCGUUAGCGGUAAAAGUAAACCGGAAAAUAUUAGGAAUCAAGUGAAUAAUCCUAAUAUUAAUUAAAAGUGAAUAAAAGCUUCCAGGAAAAUAGAAUGGAUAAAAUGCCCGAUUUAACGGGACUUAAAAUAAAACGGGUUUUAACUCCCGGAACCCACUAAGUUAACUAGGUAAAAUUAACCUAGUUAGUAAUGAGUAACUAAACAAUAAACUAUGGGUUAUAGUUUCAUUUAUGAAUCUCUAAACUUGAGGGGCUAAACAUGGGCAACUAGAGAAGUGUUUUAUUAAAACACUUAAAUAAAAAAAAAACACACACAUACAUGUGUGUACGUAUGCGAUCAGAAGAAGGAGCCAGGAGAGCUCAAACCCUAGUUCAACAAAUCCUCCAAAUCGAAGCUCAAAUCAAGCCCGAAUCGUCUGCAUGAUUACAAAUUCGUGAUCGCCUAGUCGUGGGGAUCAUAAGCUGACUCUAAACAAGCUAGGUGGGAGCUUGAAAAGGAACGGGUCAAACGGAUCAUGGAUGCGAAGAAUGUUUGCGCGGACGCAAGGGUAAAACGGCUUAUGGAAUUUACGUGGCUAUGAAUCAGCAAAUUAUUAAGGCAAGGUAUUAAAACGGGUCAAUACUUUGACCCGCGCCAGGUACGUGUAAAUUUGGUGGAAGAUAUGUGAAUACCUUAAUGUAGAAAAAUGACAUGUGAAAGUAGAGAGUGGGAUUUAAACUUAAAUGAUUAAAUUCUCUCUAACGGGUCAAAAUAUGCAUUUAAGCGUAGACGGGUCAAAAUCUUGUAAAAAGGUAAUAAGCCGAAUGCAUAAAAGUCUCAAAAUUUAUUAAGCCGGAUGUCGGACUUUAACUCCAUAUGAUGGAGAAUCAAAUUACAAACAUGUAGGAAGAAAUGGUAGGUCAAACGGACAAGCAAAUUUAAAGAUAGGAAAGAUUUCGUGUCAAUUACGGCAAAAUGGAAAGGCUGAAUGCAGGGGCCACCGUAACUUACGGUGCCACCGUAAGUUACGGUGGAGCUGAAUUAUUUACGGUGGUUGCCUACUGUUGUGCGGUAGGAAAAUUUUAUUACAGAGGGCACCGUAACUUACAGUGCCACCGUAAGUUACGGUGGAGGUCAUUUUCAAAUUUUUGUUUUUGGAAUCAAUGGUUUCUCGGACUCGUUUGGACACGUUUUAAAGCCCGUAAGACUAAAGCAUUUCAUGUUUAUGAAAUGUAGGUACAUUUUGGAUGCCAGAAGACGAUCAAGCUCGACGAAGGACCGAACACGAUAUAGAUACAUGCUUCCGCACUUUAACACUUUGCAAAUUUUAAACAACGAAUUCAACCACGUUAUGUAGAAUAACUUAUGAAUUGUAAAAGUUUUAAUAAAUUCGUAUUUUUAUAGUAUGUGUAGGCUUAACUACACAUCUAAUUGUUGGCGUUUACAUAUAAAAUUGUUAAUUAGUAACUAGGGUGUUACAAGUUGGUAUCAGAGCCCUGGUUUAAGAGAUUCAAGUAUGGUGGGGAAAACCAUGCUUGGACUUAAACCUUAUGCUCUUGACAAAGAUUGGUGUUCGGUUCGAGGCUUGAUCGCAAAUCCGGUAAGUACAUCUAUGCUAAUAGUUUAGCAUGCUAAAGUGUUGUAAACAACACAUGGGGUUAUCGUGUGAUACACGUUACCUCAAUUAAGCGAUAAAUGUAGUUGACAAAGUUACGCGUGUUGACACAUAUAGUACAAAAGUCUUGUAUUAUGAUACGGGCAUUUAGUAAAGUUGACAUUACUAACUUUUGUGAAUGUCUUGAUUGAAGGACACUUGCGUUUAAAGAUGACAAAGGUUAAACAAAUUAAAGAUGUGAUAGAGGAACAGUCCGAGGCAUGACGAGAGGAACAUGCUCACUAAGGACUAAAUCGCGUAAAGACCGCGAACAAGGUUAAUGGCAAGAAACGCCCGUCGGGGCAAGCAUUAUCAGGUGCGUGCUUUUAAAUAUAAUUAGCAAUGUGCAACAAACAUGUAAAGAAUGAUUGUCGCAUAUGUAAAUUAGAAACUUGGGAAACCUGAAUAGAAUGCCUAUCCAGGAUAUUAUCUCCAAGAAAACUAAAUAGAGGUGUUACUUACAUGGGGUGUGAUGUGAAAACUAUAAAAAGGUCGUGUAUGUCAUGUGUUAAUCGCUUACUCUGGCCAAGUAAGUAGUGGCAUAUGAUACCAUGAGUUUCUUAUAGCAGAGACAUUAUAUCUGAUGGAGUAAGGACGGGGUAAAUGGGACAAAUUAAAAGUACCCAAAAGAAUCAAGUGAGCAAAAUAUUUGAUAAUAAUGUAAACGCACAGCCGAGUGACGGAAGCGUAUUACAUUAAGAUAAUGAGCCCGAGUGAAGGGACAAAGAAACACGUAAGAUGAUCAGAAUACGUAUUGGGAGGAGGUGUACUUACACUCGAACCCGGAAAAUGCAAACAUGUAAAAUGAUGUAGACAUGUAUUGGGAGGGGGUGUACUUACACUCGAACCCGAAGAAUAUAAACAUGUAAAAUGAUCAAGAUAUGCAUUGGGAGGUAGUGUACUUACACUCAAACCCGAAGAAUGCAAAUAAGACUCUUAACGGGCCGAUUUUGUAAAACACCAAAUUUGAGAACAAAGUAGGAAUAUAAAAGCGAAACAAAGUCAUAAUGCAUACCGUAAGGGUUGCAAUAAUAACGACUUCGGUAAAACACCCGGUUGGUGGGUAAGGAUUUAAACACAUGCGUAGACUGAGAAACAGGAACGCGCAUGGAAAGUCAAAAGACUCGGGUUUUGGGUCAUGACCAAAGGACGAUAAGAUAACGGCAAAUAGAAAUUUUGAUGAAUUACGCUCAACUAUUUUAAAGUUGAACGGGUCGAACAAAGAUUGAAGUUUGACAUCUAUAAGUGAUGAAAUUUUCACACGAACAAGUCAAACAAAAUUUAAAAAAGGAUGACUCGUGCUAAAGUAAGUAAGCGCGAAUCGAAUAAAAAAAAAGUGCGAAAUAUUAGUAAACCUAUGUAAAGGAGUUAAAGGUGUUAAAAACAUUAGAAUAAAAGAACCCGGGUAAUGGGACGUAAAGAAGUAUAGGUAAGAACCGGUUAACAGUAAGUGUAGGGCAAACCGACGUGUAAUUGACGUUAGAAGUCAAGGAGUCGGAAGGAUAAUUCGAAAGAAAACAAUGUAGCCUUAGACUACGGUCAAGGUCAAACGAAAUCCAAAAAGUAAAGGUGAAUAAUUCUAAAACAUAAGAGGGGGUGCCUUAAUGCCAUAUGCGUAUAUAAAUGUAUACAUAUUUGAAUAAAGACUUGAAUAAAAGAUGAUCUACGGGAUCAUCAUAACCUGCGGGAUAUGAAUUUAAAGCAAAAGGAUCAUAAGGGUCUCACCUUAAAGAGGUGAAAACAUAAGGAAAUAGCCUACGAGGUUAAGUGAAGGAACCUACGGGUCAAUAGUGUAAGGUGAGGGAAUUUGUUAUGAUUCCCCGCAUAAAGUAAGAACGGAAAACAAUAAAUUAUGAGUUAUCAAUUUCCUUGAUAUGGAUAAUUGACAAAAGUUAAAAGGAAAAUGCUAAACUAAAACUCCGGUUUUUGCAAGAAAUGACGUUUUUCGAAUAUGAAUUCUGAUAGACGAAUAUGUAAUAGGCAUGAAAGAUAUAAGUCUUGACACUGAUAAGUGCAAGACGAUACAUUUGAAAAGAAAGGUUGGAAUAGACCUAAACAUGACGUGACGCGAUCACGGACAAGAGAAGUAAUGUGAAGUAAUCAUAUUAUGACCCGAGUGAUGGGUACAAAGUAACUGGACUGAUAAGUCUAGUUAGUGAGAUCGGUUAAGGUCGAAACCCAAAUUAAGAAAUUGUUUAACACGUUAUUCACUACGAAGAGUAAUGUAGAAUAAACAUAAUUUAUAAACCUGUGUGACUAAGUGGCCAACGUUUGGCGACUCGGUCAAGUAAACAACAAAGGUGUAUAGAUCCAAGAGAUAAAGUGACGGCCCAUGAGACCUCACUAACAGAAAAUAUUGAUCACUUAUUUGAGGGAUCAUAAAGCUAUAAGUUCAUGAACAAAAGAAUAGUUGCUAAAAGUUAAAGAUUUCACCAAGGACCUUAAAACGGUCAAAACGACGGAUUCAUAAAUAAUUUGAUAGUAUAUGAAAGCGAUGAAUAUCACUAAGUUAACCGGACUAGUGGAAAUAACGAGAUUACGUUAUUUCAAGAUUGCACUAUGUAGUAUGAGAUACGUAGACAAUUAGUAACCAAAAGGAUAUUGCCAUACUUUUCUGGUAAUACUAACAAUUGGUCAAAGUAAAAGUAACGUUUAAAAGAUUUCUCGGAUCAAAUGCAUUGAGUUUGAACUCGAUGAAUUAAGCAAGAAAAGGUUUCGAGGACGAAACCUCUUUAAGGGGGUAGACUUGUAACACCCCGAAAACAGGUUUGGAAAUUAAACCCCGUUAAUACUAAAGACGGGGAAAGUACCGUUAGCGGUAAAAGUAAACCGGAAAAUAUUAGGAAUCAAGUGAAUAAUCCUAAUAUUAAUUAAAAGUGAAUAAGAGCUUCCAGGAAAAUAGAAUGGAUAAAAUGCCCGAUUUAACGGGACUUAAAAUAAAACGGGUUUUAACUCCCGGAACCCACUAAGUUAACUAGGUAAAAUUAACCUAGUUAGUAAUGAGUAACUAAAUAAUAAACUAUGGGUUAUAGUUUCAUUUAUGAAUCUCUAAACUUGAGGGGCUAAACAUGGGCAACUAGAGAAGUGUUUUAUUAAAACACUUAAAUAAAAAAAAACACACAUACAUGUGUGUACGUAUGCGAUCAGAAGAAGGAGCCAGGAGAGCUCAAACCCUAGUUCAACAAAUCCUCCAAAUCGAAGCUCAAAUCAAGCCCGAAUCGUCUGCAUGAUUACAAAUUCGUGAUCGCCUAGUCGUGGGGAUCAUAAGCUGACUCUAAACAAGCUAGGUGGGAGCUUGAAAAGGAACGGGUCAAACGGAUCAUGGAUGCGAAGAAUGUUUGCGCGGACGCGAGGGUAAAACGGCUUAUGGAAUUUACGUGGCUAUGAAUCAGCAAAUUAUUAAGGCAAGGUAUUAAAACGGGUCAAUACUUUGACCCGCGCCAGGUACGCGUAAAUUUGGUGGAAGAUAUGUGAAUACCUUAAUGUAGAAAAAUGACAUGUGAAAGUAGAGAGUGGGAUUUAAACUUAAAUGAUUAAAUUCUCUCUAACGGGUCAAAAUAUGCAUUUAAGCGUAGACGGGUCAAAAUCUUGUAAAAACGUAAUAAGCCGAAUGCAUAAAAGUCUCAAAAUUUAUUAAGCCGGAUGUCGGACUUUAACUCCAUAUGAUGGAGAAUCAAAUUACAAACAUGUAGGAAGAAAUGGUAGGUCAAACGGACAAGCGAAUUUAAAGAUACGAAAGAUUUCGUGUCAAUUACGGCAAAAUGGAAAGGCUGAAUGCAGGGGCCACCGUAACUUACGGUGCCACCGUAAGUUACGGUGGAGCUGAAUUAUUUACGGUGGUUGCCUACUGUUGUACGGUAGGAAAAUUUUAUUAGAGAGGCCACCGUAACUUACGGUGCCACCGUAAGUUACGGUGGAGGUCAUUUUCAAAUUUUUGUUUUUGGAAUCAAUGGUUUCCCGGACUCGUUUGGACACGUUUUAAAGCCCGUAAGACUAAAGCAUUUCAUGUUUAUG